ACCUUGUGAGAAUGAAACAUGAAGAAGGCUGACUGCAAACCAGAAGGAAGGUCCUCAUCAGACACUUGAACUGUAGCCCCUUGAUCUUAGAUGUCCCAACUUUCAGAACUAUGCGCUAACUGAGGCUCAGAGACAUAAAAGAAUUUGACCAAGGCCACACUGAUUUUUAAACUCAGAUUUGUUUCAUUUCCAAACCUGUUCUUUUUGCACCACACCAUACCAUCCUUGUGUCUGAUUCUUAGGACAAUGCCAGCUCUCUGAAAUACGCCACAUGAACAGUCUACCUGCUGCCCACGAGCACUGGAGUCGGGACACCGAGGACUCAUUUGCCUCCAUUUCCAUUUCCAGUGAAUCCAGACACCAUGGACUUCCUACCUUAGCCUUCCUGAGUCAAUGUUCCUCCUAUUUAGAGAGAGCUCAGACCACCAUAAUCAUAUGUUUCAAUUUCAGUUUUUGGUUUCUAAAAAUAAAGAGGAUCCAUGGUCUAGA